rnacentral:rRNA from 1 species
AAGACUAAAUAAACCAGGAGCACCUUUUGAAUGCCCAGUCUCAUCUGAUCUUGGAAGCUAAACUGGGUUGGGUCAGGUUAGUACUUUGUUAGUGGUUAGUGCAUACAGGUGUUGGGUCCUU